rnacentral:tRNA from 1 species
AAUUGUUUGGCUGAAAUAUAAGCAUAAAUUUUGAAAAUUUAAUAUAAAUUAUUUUAACAAUUU